AAUAUGACUUCUGUAGAGGAGAAAUAGAGGCUUCCAUUAUCAGCGUGAGUAGUGAUGUCAUCUCCAUUGGAUUUUGUGCCAUUUCUGGGCUGGAGGAUCCUGCUUGUGCAUCUCACACCGUGACUGUUACUUGUAAUCUUUAGUCCCCCUCACCCUGUGUGCCUGGCUGUCAACAGUGAUUUUACCACAGUGGCCACUUAGUUAUUCCUGCCCAAAUUCACCCAGGGAAUACUGACACUGAAGGAGCCUCUGGCUGUGUCUUGGGCUGGCCUCCCUGAUGCUAAGUGUGCCAGCUAGUACCCGUCAGAACGGCCCCAUUGUCAAGGUUCCAUAGAUAUUCAGGGAUGACAGCGUGGUGGGUCUGGACAGCCAGCAUUUGAACAGCAGAUGUUGCAUUGUUUCUGCUUCCUCCACCUCUGUGGCCUUGGGUCAUCAUCGAACCUGCUUCUGUUUUCCUUAGAAUGAACUUGGCACCCUUAGGAAGGAAGCCCUGGAAGACUGCUCCUCACCAGUCCCUCUGGCCUGCCUACUGCCUCUGACAUCUGCAGUGAGAAUGCAUCCAGUCUCAAGAUGCGAUGAAUCAUACAAUCAAUUAUUCAACAAAUACCUGCUGAGUUCCUGUGUCAAGCACUGCUUCAGCAUUUAGGGUGCAGCAGCACUGGCUCUACCGACAAGCGUGAGCCCGUCGGCA
rnacentral:lncRNA from 1 species